AGCGGGCAGGCCAGUGACUCCAGCUCAACCACACCAUGGAGGAUGUCUCUGUGGUCUCAUGUCCACCUUCAUUUGCAAGAUGUCUGCCACAGUUCCAGGUAAUCCGUGGGAUCUCAGGGGAAAGAAGACAGCUCCUCCUGUAUUGUGACAACUAGCAGGCACACAAAACUGAACAUCACGUGGGCCUUGACCUGGAGAGCUAGCAAGCAAACCGGCAUCCCAUGUCAUUUCAAAAUUGUAUAGUAAGCAAGGAGAGGCAUGCAGUGUUCUGGAAGCACAGAGAAGGAUCCCUCAGCUCUACUGAGGGAUGAUUCCUGGGGAGAGACCAAGUGGACUGGCUAUAGAUGCUGAGAAUGAGUUUCACUAUGAAGACAAUGCUGUAAGAUAAAGAUGCAGACAUACACAGUGUUUGAAGAAGUCUGGAUGAAAAUAACUCGCACUACCAUCUAUGCGGCUGCCCCACAGCCAGAGUGGAGAAGUACUGACAUUGUAGAAACCUUCACUUUCUAUGUACUGUUUACCUUUUUGUACAGUGCUAGUGAAUUAUCAGAAAGAAAAACAAAUUUUUCCAAAU